rnacentral:piRNA from 1 species
UCAUCAGGCAUUAGAGUCUCAUAAGGAGCA